rnacentral:lncRNA from 1 species
CGGAAUUGAGAACGUGCUACUUCGAACAGACACAAAAAUUAAGGCUGAUUGAAAACGUCAAUAAAAAAAUUCAUGCAUAUUCCAGAGGCCAAUCCAUAUCACGCUAUAUUGAAGUGACACACCCUUCAAUAAAAUGCAAAGAAAGUCAAAAUAAAAAUGCUCUUUCUAGGAUACUGUUGCACCGUAUUGUCAUUUUUGUUUACUCAGGAACAUCUCAUUCUUAAAUUUUUCAAGGGUAAAAUAUAAAGGUAGCAAAAUUAUUGUCGUGGCUAAAUAACUCUUAACUGACACAAUUUCAAUUGUCCAACCCAUUAACAG